rnacentral:misc_RNA from 1 species
GUUGCUUUUGCAACUAAUUCUGUUUGACAAUCAGAAAAGAUUUGCUGGAUCAUGUAUCAUUCAAGUCUUUUCAUAUUGAAAUCUCCAACAUGGCUGCAUAUCUUCUUUGGGGGAAAUGUGAAACUUGGUUUUUUCAGUCUCACUUCCCUUGUAUCAGAAUACUUAAUAUUCAAGUGGUAGUGUCAUUUAGUAAAUAUUAUCUUCGGCUUAUUUUGUGAUGAC